GAUCAACUUCCUCAGUUGGUUAGAGCGUGGUGUUGAUAACGCCAAGGCUGCAGGUUCAAUCCCUGUAAGGGACA